AAACCAGCACCUCAAGUGGUCAGGAUGAUUAUUGGGCCUAAAGCAUCCGUAGCCUGCUCUGUAAGUUUUCGGUUAAAUCUGUACGCUUAACGUACAGGCUGCCGGGAAUACUGCAGAGCUAGGGAGUGGGAGAGGUAGACGGUACUCGGGAGGAAGUGGUAAAAUGCUUUGAUCUCUCGAUGACCACCUGUGGCGAAGGCGGUCUACCAGAACACGUCCGACGGUGAGGGAUGAAAGCUGGGGGAGCAAACCGGAUUAGAAACCCCGGUAGUCC
rnacentral:rRNA from 1 species